CAGUACGAAAGUUGUUUGGCUUGAUGAGAUCUAUAUGUGUACCGAGUUUCAUACGUCUACGUGCAAGUAUGUAUGAUAUAUGGCCCUCCAUAUUCCAGGGGGCGCUGUAGAGCCCCUGUGCCACGCCCGUGUAUCAGUCUCUGCCCGGCCCUAAUGGCCGCAGGUUCCAAUGUGUGUGCCAAUUUUCAAGAGUUUUCGAGUAUGUUAAGGGCCCCAAAAGCCCCCGAGACGUUGGAAAAAAAUAAUAAAUAUAGCUGCAAGCAGCGAUGGCGGGCUCAAGCCAUCAGCGCAAACGCCAACCCGGUGGCAUCAGGUAAACUGUGCCCAGCGGGCACAUGCAUUUACAGUAACCCUCUGGCACUCAGGUUUUAAGGGAUACGGCAAUUAACGGGUUAAUCCGAAGCAUCAAGACUUUGAAAUCACAUACACAGAACAAUAUUCAUUAAGAAAGUGAAAUUAAAUGAUUAAUAAACUAUUUAUUCGAACCCUCGCUAUUUUCUAUUCUAAUAAAAGUUUUGGCUGUGGAACAUCUGUAAUAGAGUUGGCUAGCUGGAUGCAAAUAAAGUCAUGCCUUUUAUUUUUUCCCCUGUUUGCUAUUUCACAUUCCUGUCACUGAAGCGUUGUGGGCAAAGACACAGAAGGCAACUG
ensembl:lncRNA